GUUUGAUACAGGAUGGCCAUAAUCCCUUAAGCGUACCAGCACAUACUCAGGAGCCCUACCCAGUUGGCAUGACAACCUUGAUGGUCCCAAACAGAAGACCAUCAAAGUCACAAAGGACUUGCAUAUGGGAGUGGAUUCAACACGGACUGGAACAAAGGACAAUGAUAUCAGAUCUUCCCUCUGGGGGCAGGAAACUGCCAACUCCCCUUUGUCCUCUGGAAAUGACUCAUGGGGAGGGUGAAAGGAGGAACCAGCCAGGUGACAAGAUACUCAGGUUACCGCCACAACUCCUCCCUCAACCUCCCUGUUUGUGAUGUCUCAAUGAUGUAGUCAUGAUGUAGUUGUGAUGUAGUUCUAGGGGUGUAGCUUGGGGGAUUAGUAGCUAAUAAAAGUUGGGGUCUUCUUUUGUUCUGGGCUUCCAUUUUGUUUCACCUGGUGGCAGGUGGGAGUCCUGUCGCAACAGUCUUCAAUAAAGACCAAGCCUACUGGCUGCUGUUUUGCUCUGGUAUUCCUGGCUGGUGUCCUUGGUUUUUUUGUCCAAGGGAGCCCUCGGAUUUCUCCGUUAACAACAGAAUUGUUCAUUUGCUAUUUAUUGGAGCUGCUUAUAUGACUAUGUAAUCUUUGCAAAUAUUCAAUGAAGAGUGGGCUAUGAACAUUGUAAAUUUGUUGGUUUGUUUUAAAUCCCCAAUAUCUCCAGCUAGGGCAGGGAAAGAACUUUGCCUGAGAGCCACUGAGAGCCACUGCCAGUCAUUUUAGGAACUCUAAAAUGGUUCUUUGGUUCUGUUAUUUACUGAGAUAGAUGGACCAAUGGUCUGGCUUGGUAUAGGGAAAUGUUCCUUGCAUCUUCCUCCCAAGUAUUUAUGUUCAGGAAACUGCAACAUAACACACUUACAGCAAGUCUAAUAGGAAUACUCAGGAUUAAAUGGAUUGUGAAUAGCAGCCAUUCUGUCUGUGCAUGGGGAAAUAUCACAGCUCAAUUCUCAGUGGGGUGUUUUAUCUUCACGGCUUUGAGAAUAACACCCUUGUUUGUUUCAAAGCUUCCCAUGUCAGCAUUUCCCCCUGAAAACUUGUUUGUUUUCUCUUCUUACAGCAGCUAUUGUCUAUGCCAAAAUGCGACCAUCGCACAAUAGGCUGGCUUCAGCUAGAUCAAUCACCCUAGCUUGUUAACAGGCCUGUCCAUGUGCAUACCAAAUGACCACACAAAUCAAGAAGCCAUCCAUCC